CAGCAGCCGCGGUAAUACAGAGGAUGCAAGCGUUAUCCGGAAUGAUUGGGCGUAAAGCGUCUGUAGGUGGCUUUUCAAGUCCGCCGUCAUAUCCCAGGGCUCAACCCCGGAACUGCCUUUGAUACUGGAAGUCUUGAGUAUGGUAGAGGUGAGUGGAAUUCCGAGUGUAGAGGUGAAAUUCGUAGAUAUCAAGAAGAAUACCUAUUGCGAAGGCGAUCUGCUGGAACUUAACUGACGCUAAUGCGUGAAAGCGUGGGGAGCAAACAGGAUUAGAUACCCCUGUAGUCCCUGUCUCUUAUAC
rnacentral:rRNA from 1 species